AGCGAACGCUGGCGGCAGGCCUAACACAUGCAAGUCGAACGGAUCCUUCGGGAUUAGUGGCGGACGGGUGAGUAACACGUGGGAACGUGCCCUUUGGUUCGGAACAACUCAGGGAAACUUGAGCUAAUACCGUAUGUGCCCUUCGGGGGAAAGAUUUAUCGCCAUUGGAGCGGCCCGCGUCUGAUUAGCUAGUUGGUGGGGUAAAGGCCCACCAAGGCGACGAUCAGUAGCUGGUCUGAGAGGAUGAUCAGCCACAUUGGGACUGAGACACGGCCCAAACUCCUACGGGAGGCAGCAGUGGGGAAUCUUGCGCAAUGGGCGAAAGCCUGACGCAGCCAUGCCGCGUGAAUGAUGAAGGUCUUAGGAUUGUAAAAUUCUUUCACCGGGGACGAUAAUGACGGUACCCGGAGAAGAAGCCCCGGCUAACUUCGUGCCAGCCGCCGCUGUAACAC
rnacentral:rRNA from 1 species